AACCCUUUCCUCCCCAACUUGCUUCUUGGUCCUGAUGUUUGUGCAGGAGUAGAAACCCUGACUAAGACAUACUCCCACAGCUCCUCCCCAGGCUCCUGGCUCCAACAGGAUGCCCCGUCCUGUGCUCCAGUCACAUGCCCAUGGGCAGUGCACAACGCUGGGACAGAAAAGAAACUGAGCCAAGCUCAAGAUGACAAAAUGGAAGGGGGCUGCUGGAGAGACACUGUCUGAGUGCUAUCUGAGCUGGUCAGAGCACAGAGGGCUCAGCAGGGAUGUCACGGGGGUGGGGGGUGAGGGGUGUAAGGUUCCCCCCCCCAGCACCCUCUUAUCCCCCCCUAUGGUCUUGCACACUGACCCUUUAGGCCACACUGGCCGCUCCUUGUUUCCACCUCAUGGAGAGAGCAGAAAAAUGACAGCUUAAAAAAACCAAACACGCUGAGACCCAAAAUUGCUGGGCAAGGUCCCAGCUCUGCCACUUCCUAGGACUAUGACAAGUAAACCUGGAUAUUCUGGGCCUCUCAUUCUCAUCUGCUUAGAAGACAAGGCAAACUCCAUGCCAGCCUCCCCCACCCUCUCAGGAGAAGCUGCCAGGAACAGACAUAAACCUAAGAUGCACAAGAAGCCCCAACACGCCGAGCAGUGCCUGAACCCCAACAAGCUCUUGCGGUGAGGAGGCUCUAAGCAGGCAGGUUUGGGAAGCCACCCUCCUCUCAGCUCCUGGGAGCUUACCUCUCCACCUGGCACAGGCGGCUAGCACCUAUUGUGAGCCACAAGAAUCAGGAUGCCUGCGCUUGUCAGCACAGCUACCUCUUGUGUGAUCUGCAGGUUGGGGGAAUUAAACCGGGUCUCUGAAACUCCCUAUAUAACUGAGGAGGACCUUGAACUUCUGGCCCUCCUGCUUUCACCUCCCAAGGUCUAGGAAUACAGAGGUGCCAUCAAGGCCUGUUCUAUGACGCUUACAAAAGUGUCCCUUAACUACCACAAGGUCACCAAGUCACCACACUUCCUUUGGCCUACUAAGGACUGGGCAGGACUCCUCCACCCGCUGGAGCGGCAGGGUACACUCUAGCCAGUGGUGAAAAUCCUCACUGAAAAGUACCUGAGGCUACUCUGCUGCCUUCUGACACCAGCUAUCCCUGAGCACAGGUGGGCGGGCCUUGCGAAUAGAAAUGUCCAGAGUGGCUAGCAGAAGGCCAUGUGACCCAUUCAGGGCAUUUCUGUCUGGGCUUCACCCUUCCAUUUCUCCGAGCCCCUUCACAACGGUGCUCGGAGGUAAUCCUCAAACACUGGUCCGCAUAUUUCAGUUACAGAACACACCAUGAAAAGUGGGCACACUGGUCUGGGGAGGUAUAGGCAGGAGGAUCAGAACUCCAAGGUUACUCUCCCUUACAUAAUGUGUCAGAGGCCAACCCGAGCUACAUGAGACCCUGUCUUAAAAGAAGAUUAGGAAGGGACAGGAGAAGAAAGAAAAUGUCCCACAAAAGCAUUGGGUCAUGGGAAGCAAAUCUUGCUGAUUGGGUGACCAGGAACUUUGAAAGAAACCAGGGGCCUCAAGACCUUUAUCACCUGAGAAAGGCGCCCAGAUGGUGGUGGGACACUGAAGGAUGGUGGGAGGAGUUGGGAGGGCUCUCCAUGUUGCCCUGCAUCUCAUCCGCAGGAACAUCCCAGGUGUGGACUAUUUUGACACAAGCUUGUUUUGGAGCCCAGGAUGGCAGGUUCUCUGCGAGCUCCCUGUGGCCUGAACUGCCUGAUGCACAGGGUUCCUAACAGUAGCCAGGCCGGCAUCUUGGCACAAGGCCUUCCGUCUUCUGUCUCCUAACUUUUGAGAGAACCAGAGCAGGCCUAGCUGACCUGUCACCACUGGGCCUCCAGACACUGGCAGAAUGUACAGCAGGCUCACACCUGCUCUGUCAGAGCUCAAAGCUGAGGAGCAAUGCCAUCUGCUGACCACACGGUCACAAGGGGCCACACCUGGCACCAAGAACCUCCUGCUUCAUCCCCUCGAGUUACUUAGGGCUGCUCAUCUCUGGGAGGAUUAAGACUCCACGCCUCCGGGAAAAGAAGAUGCUCCUUCAACCACACCACGUGGGGACCAGUCACAUAAGGAGGUGGGACAUCUGACGGCAGUCAGCAGUCUGUGCCUGGAGACCACAUACCCUCAUCCCACGAAAGCAACUUAACUCCAGCUCCACACAGGCUUCCAUGGACUAGGGGGUGGGAUCCCGUGCCCUGAACCCACACACCCAAAGCCCGAAGCUCUGGAAGCAGAACGUUUCCUAAAUUUGGAGGAAGCUCAAGCUGGAUGCAGUUUGGCCCGAACAUGUGCUACGUGACUUGUUUGCUUGCUUGUUUUCUGAGACAAGCUCUCUCUACAUAGACCUGACUAUGUAGACCAGGGUAGGCCUCAAACUUACAGGUAUCCACCUGGCCCUCUGCCUCCAAAGUGCAUUAAAGGCAUACACCACCACCCAACCAAUUUAUCCACUUAUAUAUCUUAAAAUAUCCACUUAACAUAAAGAUUCACGUCUUGCUGCAGAAAUACUAAUAUUUUAACUUCAGCUCUGCCCCAGAUCUCAAAGGGAACAUUGGCAAAAGUUUUCAUUUUAAGAGCCAACAUCUGACUCCAGAAACACAAUAUGGCCUCUAAACCAUUAUUCAGCAAGAUGCUACAGGUGGCUGCAGUGGCCGGGGCAGCAGCAGAGUGAAGACCCUGCCCCAGAACAGCUGCUGCUGUCCAGCUGGCUGCCCCCAUCCCCAACAGCCUCACUUUCUCUUUCUUUACACCCUCCAGAAAAGAGCAAUUUUGCCAGAACAAGUUCCAACUCUUUCAAAUAUGGGCCUCCUGGCAGCACCUGGAUGGCCUCUCCCCCACCCUGAACAGGUCACCCGGAAAGGGAGGAAACAGUACAGAGAAUUAGGAACGUGACUAACUUUAAAAGCUUUACUUCUUUAACCCUGGACUGGAGGCUUCAUGAACAAGUGGCCCCUUGACCCUGACAUCUACCAGACAGGUUGGUUCGCAGAAGGGCAGAGGACGGGGACAGGGAAGCUCUGAGCUGCAGGAAGACAUGUAAUCCUGGAGGGUCCCAAGACCAAGUACUCAUCCAGAAAGGACUAUCCUGACCCCUCCUGCGUCCUUACAGCACCCCAUUCCAGAGGUACAACCUGGCCGCAUCUUACAGGUGGAGGAGAUAGGAGCUGCACCUGAGGCCACGCAGCUGGGGAAGGUGGCAGGGAUCCAAGCACAAUCAGGCUCCCGGGUUCUGGCCCCAGCCCUCCUGCUGCUCAAGUAUUUCUCCCAAGCCCCAGAGUUCUGGGCACCACCCAGGCCUGGGAGCCACCUGCAACAUCCCCCAGGAAAAGGGAUGGAGGGACUUUCUCCACCAGCUACCGACUGAAGCGAAAGCUUGCAGUAGUCUCUCUCCACUCCAGAGAGCAUCUCCAUAGAACAGAGAGCUCCACUCUCAUGUGGGCAGUUCACAGGGACCAAACUCGAAAUAUCCUGUCACUUGGGCACAGAUCUCAAAGGCAAAACUGUCAGGCAUAGCCUCAAGUGUUCACAGUGGGGGAAAGAGGGCAAGGGCAUGUGCCCUCCAGCUCCAAGCCUCAGCUUUGUACCACACUGCCAGAGCUGGGAGACCAACUGGGCUUCCCUCAGGUUGCAUGCCUUGACCAGCACACAGCCAGGACACCAGCCUCCACCUCCUGCCAGGCGUGGUCAGCUCCUUCACCCCCUUCCUCAGCCACAGUCAGGGCAGAGCAGCCCUUCCCCCACCCACCAUUUCUUCGAAGCCUAAAGCUGCCACUGCCCCAUCUUCCCCUGACCCUCCUCAGCAGGCCCACAGGGGCUUUCCUAAACAGCCUUCACAGCAGCUACCCAGUGCAGCACCCAGACCCCACCCUCCCACCUUUCUCCCUAGUCUCUCUGGUCACCUCCGAAACUAAGAAACUAAAUCCGCAGUAACAAAAACAAACAGCCCAGGCAGUGCACGAGGAACCUGUGCCUGGCAGGCUCUGUACUCACAGCCAUGCCACUCACCCUGUGCAUGCACAUUCCACGGGUGACCUGUGCUCCCUCCGGGGGCACGGCCUCACCUGCCCUGCAUCUAGGGACAACCCACAGCCGCUGGAAUGCACACACCCGCCUCAGAGACCCAGGACCUUCACGGACACAGGACUGCUGGAGGUGGGGCACGGAAGCCUGGGGGGCCUGAGAGAAGCCCCAUCCACUGGGGGUGAGAGAACUGCUUCUUGCAAAUGUCUAUAAAAGGAACCGGAGUCAGGCUGCUUAACUCCGACUCAGACAGAAUGGCAACGUGACAAGCGACACCGGCCUCUUAUGCCAAGUCUCACUCAGAGGGAAUCACAGACGUGUGACUUGGACAAAUUCCUGCCAAGCCACUAGGGAAAGACAGGACAGGGCCCGGCAGGCCACAUCUGGAAGGGAGAAAGCUUAGUCACAUGAGAAGUGUCCUCUCUUUCAGACCUAACAUACCAGGCAGGGGAGGGCUCAGAUGUUUACAGGGGAACACCUUUGCCCCAACCCCAAAAACAGACACACUCUUUCCCUAAACCAAAGGCAAAGCUGGCCCCCCUCCUGUGCUGCUCUCCUGGAGAGGGAGCCCCCCCACCCCCCAACAUCCUGCAUGCCUGCUUUUGUACUGAUCAGCCUUGAAAAGCCAGGGGCUAGCAGCAGAGGGCACUGUGAACACACCUGCAGGGAUCCAGGUGUGCAUAACAGCCUGGGGGGGUGGGGGGGGUGAAGAGUGGUCACUACUUCAAGGAUCAGGUACCCUCAAACCUGUCCUCGGAGGACCCAGGUUCCUUAAUACUGGACGCCUCCAUCCACAGGCUGCAACACAAGAGCCCAAGACCUUCCUGUGAGGGCAGUGGCACAGCCUGACCUUGUCCCAGAUUCUACAGGACUGAAGAGCCCAUGAGCAGAAGCCACAAGCCUACAAAACAACUCACUUCCCAGGGAAAGUCUCAGAGAAAGUGUUCUCCACCAGCAGCAGUCCAGACUGCAGUGGGACACUCCACAGUCUAGGAUUUUGACUGCCUUGGCCCCAGACUAUAGCAGCCAUACUGCCCUGCUGUCCGUCCCCCCACACCCCAACCCCCAAGUUCAGGGGUCUGGUCCAAGAAGAGCCUCAUGGGAACACUCCUGUCCACUGGGGGAGAGGAAAAAAAACAGAAACAAACCCAGCUGACUGUGGUAGGGCCAGGAUCUGGUUGCUGGAACAAGCAGACAUGAAAUCCUAGUGAGCCCCCUGCACUGCUAUGCCUCUCCCCACCUUCCUGCCUGCUUGCCACCUACCCCUAUGAGACCUCUCCUUAAAUCUGAGAGUUCAGCUAAUAUUUGUCCCAUCCUCAGGGCUCUGAGAAUUCCCAUGCAGGGACUAGCCUCAAGGCCACACAGGAAGUCUCCCACCUCCAUACAACUAACCCCCUUCUGUUCCCAGUGGCUCUCUCUCUGCACAGGAGACCCUAUACUAAUCCCCUUGGCUCAACAAGCUAGGACCACCUCCCAGUCUAUGCUCCCUCUUUGGUGUGCCUCAAGCCCUCAGGUGGAAAGCUUGCAGAGAGAGAGGCGGCCAGCAAGACCAAGCUAUCAGAGAGCCACCCCAUCUACAGCUAGAGGAAGCAGCUGAGUCCCACUCCUCUCCCCUGCACCAGCUCCAAAAGCCAAGUCACUUGGGUCCCUGAAGGAGGACUCUAACUAACUGGCCUUCAGCCUUCUUCCCCCAAGCACAUGAUCAACCGAGGGUCCAGUGUCUUCCACCCUCAGUCAUCUCUUGUGAGGCCACUCGCAAGUUUCCAAAAUCAUUAACUUCCUUAUGGCUCCACUCUGCGCCUCUGACACACACUUUUGAAACGAAAGCUAAGUCCAAACAAGGGUUUCUUAAUUCCAUCUCAGAGACUUGGAACUUCCCCCUGCCAGACAAAGGCUGAAACCCUGCCCUGCACGAGCUGUACCUGGCCCAUCCCCGGGUGAGUGGCCAAGUCCAACUUGGAAGCCGAAUCCUCAAAGCCUGCCUAGAAUGAGCCUGGCUGCAUCUCUCACCUUCCAUAAAGUCCCCACAAAGUUUCUGUCAGCUCCAGUUUGAGGGUAAAACAGCCACAACAACAAAACCACUCCAGCCCGGAACAAAGAAGCACGGGGUUUCCUCCUGGGCCAGCUAGUGGCCAGGAGUUGUUAAGCCCUGGUCGUCAUUCUGCACCCUCACAGCCUUUGCUCUCUGCUGGCCACUUGGAUCUCCUAAGUCCUUUGGCAUACUGGCCUGCGGACUCAAGUCCCAAUAUCUCCUUAGUACUGGACACACUUGCGGAAACUGGAGGAAAAAAACCUAACAAAACAAACCCUGAUUCGCUGCGGAUCUCCAGUACUAGGGAGGAAAGACCAUCAGUCUCCAUUGUUAACAUUCCUGCGUCCCACGCACUCCGGGUGCCAUGCCUCCCAAAUGCACUCAACUCCCCACAGAAAAGGGAACCCAUCCUUCUGCCGCAUAAAGUAAAUUCAGAGCCAGGGGUGAGUGACCCCACCUUCUCCCACUGCAGUCCCUCCCCUGCGGGACUUCCCUCUGAGACAGGAGCCGGGCUGUGACCCCACCCCAUCCCACCCCCGCUGGCCUUUUGCAAGAUUCCGGCACGUGCGUUCUCCGCCGCCACCCCCCACCCCCAGGCUAGAGACUUACCUGCAGACCGGGCAGCCUCCGACCACGACGAUGGAGUUGGCAGGAUACCGGGUGACCGUUCGACUGUGGAUGUUAUAGACCCGGGGGUGGCUGGUGGGGAUCCCUGUGGGAGCGGAGUGCUGAUCAGCCCCGGGCGACUCGGCCCUCCUCCUCUCCUCCCUCCCUCCCCCUUAGCCCCCGUCCUCCCCGCCUCCAACGGGGCUGAGCGCGCCUGCGGGUGGGCUCUAGAAGCCAAGUGUGAACCCUCCGACACUAAGUUCACGGCCACCGGGGCAGGGCCUGGCCGGGCAGGGCGCUCCGGGUAGCAGCUGCCCCCCCGGCAGGCCCGCGCCGGGGACAGCGCGGUGCUUGGCCCGGAGGCCGUUCGGGGACCCCGAAGAGCUGCGGGCCCACCUGUGACGAGGCCUUCUGAGGCUCAUCCCAGGGCCUCUUACCUGC
rnacentral:lncRNA from 1 species